UAGUGCUAUAAAGUUUAGGCAAUUCUCACUUUAUAAUCUGUUUUUCUGGGGUGGAGUUUGACCCUAAGCCCAAAUUCUAAUUCUGAUAUGUUACAUACAAGAUUGUUUGUCAGUUUCAUUGCUAUAUGUUAAAUAUCAAUAACUUUAUAUGUUAGCAUUAUUUUAUACUGCUGCAAGAGCUUUUAAGUUCCAUUCUCUAUCUCUUGGGUUUAUUUCUAUCUACAUUUUUGAGAGUGGUACAACAUUGUUGCUUAGAAAUAGAAUCAUCGAUGCACCUUUCCAUGAUGAGCUCUGGUUUGCUGUUGCUAAUCAACCUUGCUUGCUUCAUGUUCGAAUUGAUGCAAUGUAUACAAAGCCUUCCAAUCAGAGCAACUUCAUUUGCAGACAUCAAAUUAAAAAAGUUAUGCCAGAGCCUAGAAGGAAAAAUAGCAAGCACAAGGUGGGUUUCUGUAUGCUCACACAAGGGUUAGUUGAAGUUGUUAACAGUUAAAUUUAACAGUGAUUUAGUUAGACAUCCUAACCAAAUUGAAAGAGAGGGAGAAGUCUGAAGGUAUAAAUAGGCGGAAAACUAUUGAGUUAGAUUGGAUUUGGAGUGUUGUUGGUUGGCCUAUCUGUAGCUGAUGCUUUCCUAGUUCCAUGUUGGAUGUGAAGAGUUGAUAAUUUUUUAUUUCUUCUCUUCAUUUUGAUUGCUAUAGUUGAUUAGUCGUGUUUUUUUUUUUAUUCUGGGUCAGAGACCACAAGUGUUUCUUAGCCCACUGGGUCAGAAAUUAAACCCGCUCGCGGUGCGUGACUGCCAUUGGCCCAAGGGAAAUCGAACACGAGUUCUCUCCCUAAAUAUAUUGUUUUCACUCUUGUGAAUGCAACAGGACCUUACACUAUUGCACCAACCCUUUGGGUUUAUUAAAUGAUCAGUAGAGGUGUUGAAAGCAGUGACCUCAUUGCCUUUCAUAUUAAAAGUAUAGAAGUUGAAACUCUUUAGUUCCCUCUGAAAUUCCCUAUGCAUUGUAGAAUUCGUUUUAAAUGAUUAGUAGAGGAGUUGAAAGCAGUGACCUCUUACCUGUCAAGUUUAUAUUAACCUGUUUUUAAUUGAUUUUGAUGUUGGGUUGUUGGUUGACAUUUCGAAUCUUGAGGUGGUUUUUAUUCAUCUUCCUUUAGGAUCUUUCAACUCAUUCAUUGCUUGCUACAUGCUCAUGGGGAUAGUGUUUAAGAUGUAUUAAUAAUAGAAAAAUUAUAUAUAUAUAUAUAUAUAUAUAUAUAUAUAUGAACCCUUUUUAUCACGCAACAAAGUAUGUCAAUUGAGUAGCUUCUUACACAGUAUUUUAUCUUCACUGCUUGGUGCCUACCCAUUUUAUGCAGCUCUUUUUUAAAUGGUGAAACGCAUUUGGUUCGCCAUUAAAGCAGCCAUCGGUAAGAGGAUAUAUUAUUGAUUGAAGUGUUUGUUGCACUAGUCUAUUGUUCAUGCCAUGAAGAGGGAUUGGUUUCCCUUUUAAACUUUUUUUUUUUUUUUUCUUAAUCCAGUUACAGUUCUAAUGCAACGAUAAGUCAAUAGAUGGCAGUUUACCAGCUUGAACCUCUGUCUAAAUAGUUUUUCCUUUAUAUGAAGUGCUUUUCUGCUUUAAGAAAGUUAAGCUUUUGUUCGGAUGGAGUUUAUGGAAAUUCGAAAUACAAAGUUAUUUUAUUCAAAAUUACAAUUAAGGUGAGAAGGUGUUAAUUAACAAGUAGCAACAACAAGGUUGACUAUAAUAUGGGUUUAGUAUGGUCUGAGGGUUGGCCACGAAUGGGGUGAAAACAUUUGAAAAAUUAACCCACUCUAAUCAUAAUAAAUCCAAUACAGUAUAACACUUGAAAUAAUAAUAAUAGUAGUAAUAAUAAUAAAUCCAAUUUAAGAAUAACUAGUUAAAAAUGUUCGAAGAUUGGUGUUCAGGAAUAUGGUGUAACUACUUAUUUGUGUAUAUUUCCAGCAUGUUUCUCACAAUAUGUUUUCUUUUCGAUUGCGUAACUAGUUAAAAAUUUAACCCAUACUUGAGGUUUUCUUUUCGAUUGCGUAAUUUCGACAUCUUCCAUGUUUCGGAGCUGCAUGCUUUGAGCCUGAAGAAAGGAGUUUUUCUGGUGCUUCAUGGUGCAUCUGGUUUGAGCAAAGAACUUGUUAAGCUACAGUUGCAUAACUAAUGGAUUUUGGAAGUUGCUUUAAGUUUUUAUACGUCAAAGUAACACAAACUUUUAUGAGCAUUGAGCUCAUGGUACAGUGUGAAUUCUAGUAGCUUUUGCACUUUAUAUUGGUAACCUCAUAAGAGCUUCUUGAUUCCUGACAAGAAUGCAUAAAUCUUGGUGUUAGAAAGUUCAGUGUCAACAGAGGUAAGGAAAACAUACGUGGACUCCCUCGUUACCCUGAAGAACGAUCUAGUUCAUGUUAUGACCUCUGCAAAGGAAGCCAUCAACGCUGUGGUUGCAGAAAAGAUGCAUCUCUUUGGUUCAGCAGGAAGGGCAUAAUUUCUAAAAAUUUACUAGCUAGAACCUCUUAUUAUUUUGCUAUUAUAUUGUCUUGUAGUAAAUAGUAAGGAAUAUCAUUGUCCCAUGAAUUCAUUAUUUCCUUCGGUUCAAUACAUGGUUUCUGAAUUUCUUAUUUA